CAGAAAUAAUAAUCAUAGAUAAGAAAACAAGACAAUUAUUGUUUCAUAUAAAAUUGCAAAAAAAAAAUCAAAUUAAAAUUGUACGUGUUGUUUGAAACAAGUUGUCGGGCACAAUCCAACCAACGGCGGCAGCAAGGAUAGUUAGAAAAUAAGUUUAUCAAAAGCUAGACACGUAAUAGUUUUACUCCAAGCGCGUAACCCUCUAAAGAAAUAUAAAAAAAUAAAAGCCUACAAACAAUCUAUUGUUUCCAUUCAUCAUUUUCAACGUGUUUCAAAGCAACAAAAACAACUUUUACACAAACUACAAUUCAAUUGAACUUUGAUAAAAACGACACGGAAAUAAUGAAUUCUAUUUUAAUUACUGGUUGUAAUCGUGGCCUUGGUCUAGGACUAGUUAAAGCUUUGGUUAAGCUGCCGAAACCACCACAACAUUUAUUUGCCACCUGCCGUAACAAGGAUCAAGCCAAGGUAAUUCAAGAAUUCGCUUGU